GACAGAGGGUGCAAACGUUGCUCGGAAUUACUGGGCGUAAAGCGCGUGUAGGCGGUUUCGCAAGUCAGGUGUGAAAGCCCGGGGCUCAACCCCGGAAGUGCACUUGAUACUACGGAGCUUGAGUACUGCAGAGGAGACUGGAAUUCCCGGUGUAGCGGUGAAAUGUGUAGAGAUCGGGAGGAACACCGGUGGCGAAGGCGGGUCUCUGGACAGUUCCUGACGCUGAGGCACGAAGGUCAGGGGAGCAAACGGG
rnacentral:rRNA from 1 species